CGGCAUGACAGGGGAAUCAAGCCCUUAGGAUUCAGCCAAUAAAAUGCAUUGUGCUGCUGGGAUUUUUGUCCUUUAUCAUGUGCCUGAUUUACAUAUGCACAUGUAAUUAAAAUACUAGCCUGGCGCUGUAGACCGGAACCCCUCCAUGGACAACCUAGGGACCCCUGCUCUUCUGACUGCUCCGCCCUGGCUGUAGAUUGGUCUAUGCCCUGCCAAGAGGGAGAGCCAGGCACUCUGGCUUCAUGAGCUAGGAAAAGGUGGGGAGGGCAAGAGCGCUGGUACUGAGUCAUCUGGGGUGGAAAGGUGCCUUGCGUUGCUCGGACAACAUCGCUUGCUGGCUGCUCAGGAGCAGGACGAGCUCCUCCAGUGCUCCUGGGAGAGGGACAGGCAUGCUGAGAUUGUGAGAUCCUUAAUGCAGGAGUCGAGCCAUCCCUUCUGGAGUGUUUAGAAAGUGCCUGGCACACCCUGGACGCAACUUUUCCUGAUCUGUGAAUGCUGGGGUAAGGAUGCCUGAGACAGGGAGGACGUGAGGAUUAAUGACUGUCUGGAUAGAUUUGGAGAUCCUUAGCUGACAGAGAAUGCAGAGGGCCAUUGUUAUGAACAGAGUUACCCGCUGAACUGCCCAUAGCUCCCACUUGCACAGAGCUCCCCGGCUGCUGCCUACAGGAGGUCCUUGUGACGAUACAAAGCCAUGUUUGAUUUUCUCCUGAUUUGGCACCAGUUCUAAGGAGUUGGAAAGCGAUCACCCCAAUUCAGGUGAGUGCCGUGAUUCCCCUCCCCCAAAAAAGGGGUGGGUUCCCAGAAGCAGGAAUUGAAAACAAUCCACAACAAAGAAACCUGAGCAGGGAGGCAGAAUUGGGGUAGCUCUCCAAUGGCUCUAGCUGCAGUUCCAUAGCGCUUCUAUCUGGGUUGCAUCAGCUGCAUUCUACUCCCUGUCUUUUCCCCUCUGCAAGCUGGCAGGAAAACAAGUCUUCCUCCCACCCCCAAUGAAAUCAUGCCAGGCCAUCCCGUCUGUCCCUCCCCACAGCAGAGAGUGGGGUGUCAGGCUCUCAGUCAAGCCUGUGAUGCAACUGUCCCAAUUGCUGGUAUUCUUGCUACGGGAUUUUCCCAAGUGGGUACAUGCUACAUGCUUACAGGAAAAUGUCACGCACAAACUGCUGGAAAUCCCAGAAGUGAACAGAGCUGCCUUAAAGCCAUGGAGAGUGGAGGCCUCCAGUUAUCCAAAGA